UCUCCCAUAGCUCAGUCGGUAGAGCGCCGGACUGUUAGUCCGCAGGUCCCUGGUUCGAACCCAGGUGGGAGAGCCA
rnacentral:tRNA from 1 species